AUCAAAUUGGUCCACAUUGAGGUCUAAAGGGUCUAAAACUGAACAUUAUUUGAUUUCAUCAAAAAUUGAAUUCUUGGGGUUCUAUGAUAUGCUGAAUCUAACCAUGUAUUUAGAUUUUGGAUAUUGGACCAUAAUUGGUAAAUGUCCAAUUUAAAAUUUUUAAGUUUUUAAGUUUAAGUUCUUAGACCACAUUGUUCUGUGUCAACCUAUGUUGUGUCAACUAUUUAAAUACAAUCCAAAUUCAGAGCUGUAUCAAGCUUAAAUGUUGUGUCCAUACUUGCCC
rnacentral:lncRNA from 1 species